rnacentral:rRNA from 1 species
UCCCUGAAGGGCCGUCGAAGACUACGACGUUGAUAGGCAGGGUGUGUAAGCGCUGUGAGGCGUUGAGCUAACCUGUACUAAUUGCCCGUGAGGCUUGACCAU